rnacentral:rRNA from 1 species
UACGUAGGGUGCGAGCGUUAAUCGGAACUACUGGGCGUAAAGCGUGCGCAGGCGGUUUUGUAAGUCAGAUGUGAAAUCCCCGGGCUUAACCUGGGAACUGCGUUUGAAACUGGGGAGCUCGAGUGUGGAAGAGGGGGGUGGAAUUCCAGGUGUAGCAGUGAAAUGCGUAGAGAUCUGGAGGAACACCGAUGGCGAAGGCAGCCCCCUGGGCUAACACUGACGCUCAUGCACGAAAGCGUGGGGAGCAAACAGG